rnacentral:rRNA from 1 species
GGACUUAGUGGCGGACGGGUGAGUAACACGUGGGAACGUGCCCUUUGGUACGGAAUAACUCAGGGAAACUUGAGCUAAUACCGUAUGUGCCCUUCGGGGGAAAGAUUUAUCGCCAUUGGAGCGGCCCGCGUCUGAUUAGCUAGUUGGUGAGGUAAAGGCUCACCAAGGCGACGAUCAGUAGCUGGUCUGAGAGGAUGAUCAGCCACAUUGGGACUGAGACACGGCCCAAACUCCUACGGGAGGCAGCAGUGGGGAAUCUUGCGCAAUGGGCGAAAGCCUGACGCAGCCAUGCCGCGUGAAUGAUGAAGGUCUUAGGAUUGUAAAAUUCUUUCACCGGGGACGAUAAUGACGGUACCCGGAGAAGAAGCCCCGGCUAACUUCGUGCCAGCAGCCGCGGUAAUACGAAGGGGGCUAGCGUUGCUCGGAAUUACUGGGCGUAAAGGGAGCGUAGGCGGACAUUUAAGUCAGGGGUGAAAUCCCGGGGCUCAACCUCGGAAUUGCCUUUGAUACUGGGUGUCUUGAGUAUGAGAGAGGUGUGUGGAACUCCGAGUGUAGAGGUGAAAUUCGUAGAUAUUCGGAAGAACACCAGUGGCGAAGGCGACACACUGGCUCAUUACUGACGCUGAGGCUCGAAAGCGUGGGGAGCAAACAGGAUUAGAUACCCUGGUAGUCCACGCCGUAAACGAUGAUUGCUAGUUGUCGGGAUGCAUGCAUUUCGGUGACGCAGCUA